AGUUUACAACUCCCAAACCCCUGUGAACAUACCUAUACGUUGCCUCGGCGGAUCAGCCCGCGCCCCGUAAAACGGGACGGCCCGCCCGAGGACCCCUAAACUCUGUUUUUAGUGGAACUUCUGAGUAAAACAAACAAAUAAAUCAAAACUUUCAACAACGGAUCUCUUGGUUCUGGCAUCGAUGAAGAACGCAGCAAAAUGCGAUAAGUAAUGUGAAUUGCAGAAUUCAGUGAAUCAUCGAAUCUUUGAACGCACAUUGCGCCCGCCAGUAUUCUGGCGGGCAUGCCUGUUCGAGCGUCAUUUCAACCCUCAAGCUCAGCUUGGUGUUGGGACUCGCGGUAACCCGCGUUCCCCAAAUCGAUUGGCGGUCACGUCGAGCUUCCAUAGCGUAGUAAUCAUACACCUCGUUACUGGUAAUCGUCGCGGCCACGCCGUAAAACCCCAACUUCUGAAUGUUGACCUCGGAUCAGGUAGGAAUACCCGCUGAACUUAAGCAUAUCAAUAAGCGG
rnacentral:rRNA from 1 species